rnacentral:rRNA from 1 species
AGAGUUUGAUCAUGGCUCAGGAUGAACGCUAGCGGCAGGCCUAACACAUGCAAGUCGAGGGGCAGCAUAGAUUGCUUGCAAUCUGAUGGCGACCGGCGCACGGGUGCGUAACGCGUAUGAAACCUACCUAAUACAGGGGGAUAGCCCAGAGAAAUUUGGAUUAAUACCCUAUGGUACUGUGAUCUCGCAUGGGAUUAUAGUUAAAGAUUUAUCGGUAUUAGAUGGUCAUGCGUUCUAUUAGUUAGUUGGUAAGGUAACGGCUUACCAAGACAUCGAUAGAUAGGGGCCCUGAGAGGGGGAUCCCCCACACUGGUACUGAGACACGGACCAGACUCCUACGGGAGGCAGCAGUGAGGAAUAUUGGACAAUGGAGGCAACUCUGAUCCAGCCAUGCCGCGUGAAGGAAGACUGCCCUAUGGGUUGUAAACUUCUUUUAUAGAGGAAGAAACACAGAUACGUGUAUUUGUUUGACGGUACUCUACGAAUAAGGAUCGGCUAACUCCGUGCCAGCAGCCGCGGUAAUACGGAGGAUCCAAGCGUUAUCCGGAAUCAUUGGGUUUAAAGGGUCCGCAGGCUGUUGUUUAAGUCAGAGGUGAAAGUUUGCAGCUCAACUGUAAAAUUGCCUUUGAUACUGGAUAACUUGAGUAAUAAUGAAGUGGUUAGAAUAUGUAGUGUAGCGGUGAAAUGCAUAGAUAUUACAUAGAAUACCGAUUGCGAAGGCAGAUCACUAAUUAUAUACUGACGCUGAGGGACGAAAGCGUGGGGAGCGAACAGGAUUAGAUACCCUGNUAGUCCACGCCGUAAACGAUGGUUACUAGCUGUUUGGACUUCGGUCUGAGUGGCUAAGCGAAAGUGAUAAGUAACCCACCUGGGGAGUACGAUCGCAAGAUUGAAACUCAAAGGAAUUGACGGGGCCCGCACAAGCGGUGGAGCAUGUGGUUUAAUUCNAUGAUACGCGAGGAACCUUACCAGGGCUUAAAUGUGGAUUGACAG